rnacentral:other from 1 species
ACAUGAGAUACGUACUUUCUGAAAAUGAUUCAUAAAGAGUGAAUUCGCUUUCAAAUUAAUGUUUGACAUUUUUAUGACAACCAUGUAUAUUCACAGUGUGGGCGCUACAUAUAGAAGUCUCACAGCUAUUUGAUGAUGAAGGGAAUGUUUACACAUGCAAGGUAAAGUAAAAUGGUUCAAUGCAGAAAAAGGCUACGGAUUCAUUGAGACGGAGCAAGGCGGCGACGUAUUCGUGCAUUUCUCCGCAAUCCAGGCCGAAGGCUUCAAGACGCUGGAGGAAGGCCAGGCUGUUGAAUUCGAUAUCGUGGAAGGCGCUCGCGGUCCGCAAGCUGCAAACGUAGUCAAGCUGUAAUCAUCCGGCUGUAUUGGCCCAGAUAUAGAUGAUGCGUUAGAUUGACCGAACCGUGAACCAAGCCCCUGGCUACAGGGGCUUUUUU